GCCCUCGUAGUUCAAUGGAUAGAACACUGCACUCCUAACGCGGCAAUAGAGGUUCGAUUCCUCUCGAGGGCA
rnacentral:tRNA from 1 species